rnacentral:rRNA from 1 species
AUUGAACGCUGGCAGCAUGCUUUACACAUGCAAGUCGAACGGCAGCGGAGAGUGCUUGCACUCUGCCGGCGAGUGGCGAACGGGUGAGUAACAUAUUGGAACGUACCGAGUAAAGGGGGAUAACUAUCCGAAAGGAUAGCUAAUACCGCAUACGCUUUGAGAAGGAAAGUGGGGGAUCUUCGGACCUCACGUUAUUCGAGCGGCCAAUAUCUGAUUAGCUAGUUGGUGGGGUAAAGGCCUACCAAGGCGACGAUCAGUAGCGGGUCUGAGAGGACGAUCCGCCACACUGGGACUGAGACACGGCCCAGACUCCUACGGGAGGCAGCAGUGGGGAAUUUUGGACAAUGGGCACAAGCCUGAUCCAGCCAUGCCGCGUGUCUGAAGAAGGCCUUCGGGUUGUAAAGGACUUUUGUUAGGGAAGAAAAGAAAUGGGUUAAUACCCCAUUUUGCUGACGGUACCUAAAGAAUAAGCACCGGCUAACUACGUG